UGCCAGUCUGACGAGUGAGAUGUAUUUUCAGUAUAAAGAGAAAUGUGAACGCCUCCAGGAUCGGCUCCACGACACAACCUUGUUUCUUCUUUGCCCUUCCAUCCGUUCAUCCAUCCGACGCUCAGCGCUGUCCUAGCGUGAGGCCAUAAAUCGAUCUAAACAAGACCUGUCCCCAGAGGCUUCAGUGAAGAAUAUGACAAAACUGAAGCUUGGAGAAGUGCAGGAAAUUGCUCAACUUCACACUUGCUAAAACAUCAUUCUUGGGGGCAGCGGAUAGCCAAAUGUGCAAGAAGUAAUCCACUUUUUUUUCUGAAGUAAAAUAUUGGAGCUCUU